UACCAGCACCCCGAGUGGUCGGGACGUUUAUUGGGCCUAAAGCAUCCGUAGCCGGUUCUACAAGUCUUCCGUUAAAUCCAGCUGCUUAACAGAUGGGCUGCGGAAGAUACUAUGGAGCUAGGAGGCGGGAGAGGCAAGCGGUACUCGAUGGGUAGGGGUAAAAUCCGUUGAUCCAUUGAAGACCACCAGUGGCGAAGGCGGCUUGCCAGAACGCGCCCGACGGUGAGGGAUGAAAGCUGGGGGAGCAAACGGGG
rnacentral:rRNA from 1 species